AGCGAACGCUGGCGGUAGGCCUAACACAUGCAAGUCGAACGGCAGCACAGGAGAGCUUGCUCUCUGGGUGGCGAGUGGCGGACGGGUGAGGAACACAUCGGAAUCUACUCUGUCGUGGGGGAUAACGUAGGGAAACUUACGCUAAUACCGCAUACGACCUACGGGUGAAAGCAGGGGACCUUCGGGCCUUGCGCGAUUGAAUGAACCGAUGUCGGAUUAGCUAGUUGGCGGGGUAAAGGCCCACCAAGGCGACGAUCCGUAGCUGGUCUGGGAGGAGGGUCAGCCUCACUGGAACUGGGACACGGUCCAGACUCCUACGGGAGGCAGCAGUGGAGAAGUUUGGACAAUGGGCGCGAGCCUGAUCCAGCCAUACCGCGUGGGUGAAGAAGGCCUUCGGGUUGUAAAGCCCUUUUGUUGGGAAAGAAAUCCAGCUGGCUAAUACCCGGUUGGGAUGACGGUACCCAAAGAAUAAGCACCGGCUAACUUCGUGCCAGCAGCAGCCGCAG
rnacentral:rRNA from 1 species